rnacentral:rRNA from 1 species
UACGGGGGGUGCGAGCGUUGUCCGGAAUUAUUGGGCGUAAAGAGCUCGUAGGCGGUGUGUCGCGUCGGUCGUGAAAACUUGGGGCUUAACCCUGAGCUUGCGGUCGAUACGGGCAUCACUUGAGUUCGGCAGGGGAGACUGGAACUCCUGGUGUAGCGGUGAAAUGCGCAGAUAUCAGGAAGAACACCGGUGGCGAAGGCGGGUCUCUGGGCCGAUACUGACGCUGAGGAGCGAAAGCGUGGGGAGCGAACAGG